rnacentral:rRNA from 1 species
CCCGUUGAUCCUGCGGGAGAUUGCUGCUAUCUGGAUUCGAUUUAGCCAUGCAAGUCAAGGGGCCUUUAUGGCACCGGCAGACUGCUCAGUAACACGUUGAUAAUCUGCCUUUAAGCGGUGAAUAGCCUUGGAAAACUGAGGGUAAUACACCAUAGGAAAAUUCGUCUGGAAUCGAGUUUUUUCUGAAAGUUACGACGCUUAAAGAUGAGUCAGCGGCGGAUUAGGUUGUUGGCGGGGUAACUGCCCACCAAGCCAAAGAUCCGUACGGGCCUUGAGAGAGGUAGCCCGGAGAAGGACACUGAGAUACUGGUCCUAGCCCUACGGGGUGCAGCAGGCGCGAAACCUUUACAAUGCACGAAAGUGUGAUAAGGGAAUCCAGAGUGCUUAGCUUUGCUAGGCUUUUGCCAAGAGUAAAUAUCUUGGCGAAUAAGUGGUGGGUAAGACGGGUGCCAGCCGCCGCGGUAACACCUGCGCCACAAGUGGGAAUCACAUUUAUUUGGCCUAAAGCGUCCGUAGCCUGUUUAAUCAGUCUUUCGUGAAAUAACUGCACUCAAUGCAGUGACGUGCGGAAGAUACUGUUAGACUCGGAACCGGUAGGGGUAUGGAGUAUUCAUGGAGGAGCGGUAAAAUGUUAUAAUCCCAUGAAGACUACCGAUGGCGAAGGCACCAUACCAGGACGGAUUCGACGGUGAGGGACGAAAGCCAGGGGAGCGAUCCGGAUUAGAUACCCGAGUAGUCCUGGCCGUAAACGCUGUGAGCAAGGUGUCGCACAUUCUACGUGAAUGUGCGGUAUCGAAAUGAAGAUGUUAAGCUCACCGCCUGGGAAGUACGGUCGCAAGACUGAAACUUAAAGGAAUUGGCGGGGGAGCACUACAAGGGGUGCGGCGUGCGGUUUAAUCUAACUCAACGCAGAGAAUCUCACCAGAUGCGACGGCCGGAUGAAGGUCAGCCUGAAGGGUUUACCUGACAAGCCGAGAGGUAGUGCAUGGCCGCCGUCAGCUCGUGCCGUGAGGUGUCCUGUUAAGUCAGGCAACGAGCGAGACCUGCAUCCAUAAUUGCUAACGACUUUUGGAUCGAGCUCUUUAUGGGGACUGCCUUGGAAACAAGGAGGAAGGUGCAGGCAACGGUAGGUCUGUAUGCUCCGAAUCUUCUGGGCUACACGCGCGCAACAAUGGUACGGACAAUAGGUCACGACUCCGAAAGGAGAAGUUAAUCCCCGAAACCGUAUCUCAGUCCAGAUUGAGGGUUGUAACUCACCCUCAUGACGUCGGAAUCCCUAGUAAUCGGGUGUCAACAUCGCCCGGUGAAUAUGUCCCUGCUCCUUGCACACACCGCCCGUCAAACCACUCGAGCAGGGUUUAGAUGAGCCUUAGCUUUUUGGUUAAUGCGAAUCUAAGCUCAGUGAGAUGGGUUAAGUCGUCACAAGGUA